rnacentral:rRNA from 1 species
GACGAACGCUGGCGGCGUGCUUAACACAUGCAAGUCGAACGGAAAGGCCCUGCUUUUGUGGGGUGCUCGAGUGGCGAACGGGUGAGUAACACGUGAGUAACCUGCCCUUGACUUUGGGAUAACUUCAGGAAACUGGGGCUAAUACCGGAUAGGAGCUCCUGCUGCAUGGUGGGGGUUGGAAAGUUUCGGCGGUUGGGGAUGGACUCGCGGCUUAUCAGCUUGUUGGUGGGGUAGUGGCUUACCAAGGCUUUGACGGGUAGUCGGCCUGAGAGGGUGACCGGCCACAUGGGGACUGAGAUACGGCCCAGACUCCUACGGGAGGCAGCAGUGGGGAAUAUUGCACAAUGGGCGGAAGCCUGAUGCAGCAACGCCGCGUGCGGGAUGACGGCCUUCGGGUUGUAAACCGCUUUCGCCUGUGACGAAGCGUGAGUGACGGUAAUGGGUAAAGAAGCACCGGCUAACUACGUG